GGGUUGUGAGGUUAAGCGACUAAGCGUACACGGUGGAUGCCCUGGCAGUCAGAGGCGAUGAAGGGCGUGCUAAUCUGCGAUAAGCGCCGGUAAGGUGAUAUGAACCGUUAUAACCGGCGAUACCCGAAUGGGGAAACCCAGUGUGAUUCGUCACACUAUCAUUAACUGAAUCCAUAGGUUAAUGAGGCGAACCGGGGGAACUGAAACAUCUAAGUACCCCGAGGAAAAGAAAUCAACCGAGAUUCCCCCAGUAGCGGCGAGCGAACGGGGAGGAGCCCAGAGCCUGAAUCAGCAUGUGUGUUAGUGGAAGCGUCUGGAAAGGCGCGCGAUACAGGGUGACAGCCCCGUACACAAAAGCGCAUGUGCUGUGAGCUCGAUGAGUAGGGCGGGACACGUGGUAUCCUGUCUGAAUAUGGGGGGACCAUCCUCCAAGGCUAAAUACUCCUGACUGACCGAUAGUGAACCAGUACCGUGAGGGAAAGGCGAAAAGAACCCCGGCGAGGGGAGUGAAAAAGAACCUGAAACCGUGUACGUACAAGCAGUGGGAGCACAGGUUUACCUGUGUGACUGCGUACCUUUUGUAUAAUGGGUCAGCGACUUAUAUUCUGUAGCAAGGUUAACCGAAUAGGGGAGCCGGAGGGAAACCGAGUCUUAAUUGGGCGUUAAGUUGCAGGGUAUAGACCCGAAACCCGGUGAUCUAGCCAUGGGCAGGUUGAAGGUUGGGUAACACUAACUGGAGGACCGAACCGACUAAUGUUGAAAAAUUAGCGGAUGACCUGUGGCUGGGGGUGAAAGGCCAAUCAAACCGGGAGAUAGCUGGUUCUCCCCGAAAGCUAUUUAGGUAGCGCCUCGUGAAUUCAUCUCCGGGGGUAGAGCACUGUUUCGGCUAGGGGGCCAUCCCGGCUUACCAACCCGAUGCAAACUGCGAAUACCGGAGAAUGUUAUCACGGGAGACACACGGCGGGUGCUAACGUCCGUCGUGAAGAGGGAAACAACCCAGACCGCCAGCUAAGGUCCCAAAGUCAUGGUUAAGUGGGAAACGAUGUGGGAAGGCCCAGACAGCCAGGAUGUUGGCUUAGAAGCAGCCAUCAUUUAAAGAAAGCGUAAUAGCUCACUGGUCGAGUCGGCCUGCGCGGAAGAUGUAACGGGGCUAAACCAUGCACCGAAGCUGCGGCAGCGANNGUUGGGUAGGGGAGCGUUCUGUAAGCCUGUGAAGGUGUGUCGUGAGGCAUGCUGGAGGUAUCAGAAGUGCGAAUGCUGACAUAAGUAACGAUAAAGCGGGUGAAAAGCCCGCUCGCCGGAAGACCAAGGGUUCCUGUCCAACGUUAAUCGGGGCAGGGUGAGUCGACCCCUAAGGCGAGGCCGAAAGGCGUAGUCGAUGGGAAACGGGUUAAUAUUCCCGUACUUGGUGUUACUGCGAAGGGGGGACGGAGAAGGCUAUGUUGGCCGGGCGACGGUUGUCCCGGUUUAAGCGUGUAGGUGUGUGUUCCAGGUAAAUCCGGUUCACUUUAACACUGAGGCGUGAUGACGAGGCACUACGGUGCUGAAGUAACAAAUGCCCUGCUUCCAGGAAAAGCCUCUAAGCAUCAGGUAACAUCAAAUCGUACCCCAAACCGACACAGGUGGUCAGGUAGAGAAUACCAAGGCGCUUGAGAGAACUCGGGUGAAGGAACUAGGCAAAAUGGUGCCGUAACUUCGGGAGAAGGCACGCUGACACGUAGGUGAAGUGAUUUACUCAUGGAGCUGAAGUCAGUCGAAGAUACCAGCUGGCUGCAACUGUUUAUUAAAAACACAGCACUGUGCAAACACGAAAGUGGACGUAUACGGUGUGACGCCUGCCCGGUGCCGGAAGGUUAAUUGAUGGGGUCAGCGCAAGCGAAGCUCCUGAUCGAAGCCCCGGUAAACGGCGGCCGUAACUAUAACGGUCCUAAGGUAGCGAAAUUCCUUGUCGGGUAAGUUCCGACCUGCACGAAUGGCGUAAUGAUGGCCAGGCUGUCUCCACCCGAGACUCAGUGAAAUUGAACUCGCUGUGAAGAUGCAGUGUACCCGCGGCAAGACGGAAAGACCCCGUGAACCUUUACUAUAGCUUGACACUGAACAUUGAGCCUUGAUGUGUAGGAUAGGUGGGAGGCUUUGAAGUGUGGACGCCAGUCUGCAUGGAGCCGACCUUGAAAUACCACCCUUUAAUGUUUGAUGUUCUAACGUGGACCCGUGAUCCGGGUUGCGGACAGUGUCUGGUGGGUAGUUUGACUGGGGCGGUCUCCUCCUAAAGAGUAACGGAGGAGCACGAAGGUUGGCUAAUCCUGGUCGGACAUCAGGAGGUUAGUGCAAUGGCAUAAGCCAGCUUGACUGCGAGCGUGACGGCGCGAGCAGGUGCGAAAGCAGGUCAUAGUGAUCCGGUGGUUCUGAAUGGAAGGGCCAUCGCUCAACGGAUAAAAGGUACUCCGGGGAUAACAGGCUGAUACCGCCCAAGAGUUCAUAUCGACGGCGGUGUUUGGCACCUCGAUGUCGGCUCAUCACAUCCUGGGGCUGAAGUAGGUCCCAAGGGUAUGGCUGUUCGCCAUUUAAAGUGGUACGCGAGCUGGGUUUAGAACGUCGUGAGACAGUUCGGUCCCUAUCUGCCGUGGGCGCUGGAGAACUGAGGGGGGCUGCUCCUAGUACGAGAGGACCGGAGUGGACGCAUCACUGGUGUUCGGGUUGUCAUGCCAAUGGCACUGCCCGGUAGCUAAAUGCGGAAGAGAUAAGUGCUGAAAGCAUCUAAGCACGAAACUUGCCCCGAGAUGAGUUCUCCCUGAGACUU
rnacentral:rRNA from 1 species